AUGAUCCUUCUUAAUUUAAUGCCAAAUUAGAGUUUUUACUCCAAUUUCAUGGUCCACUUAACAUAGAAAAUGAUAGUGCAAGUUUCAGGUUCAAGUUUUUGGUCAAGGUAGUUUUUGAUGAAGUUGAAGUCCAAUCAACUUGAAACUUAGUAUACAUGUUCCCUAUGAUAUGAUCUUUCUAAUUUUAUGCCAAAUUAAAGUUUUUACUCCAAUUUCAAGUUCCACUGAACACAGAAAAUGAUAGUGCGAGUGGGGCAUCCGUGUACUAUGGACACAUUCUUGUCUUAAAAAGUGAUUUUUUUUUCGUUUCAAACCUUUGACAUUGCCAUAUUGAGAAAAGGGGUAGGCAUCAGUACACACAAUUCCUUCUAGAUCUUAAUCAAUAUAUUUCAAUUUAAUACAUGAUUCUAAUGUGCAUUACCUUUUGGGAAUAUAUACCAUAUUACAACAUGUAGUACCAACC
rnacentral:lncRNA from 1 species